GAGCUGAGAAUCUCGUGUUCUAGGAAAAGGAAGUAUGGCAAUACUCGACAGCAGUUUGCAAGUGAGCUUAGCUUUGUUUUCUUUGUCAUCUCGCUGAACAGUAAUGAAAAUAUUCAACAAUGGUUUGGACGAAAGACGACGUCGAUAAAUACGUGAUUCAAGUGGAAAGUAAUUGCAAGAACGCACGCGAGCGUAACCUGAAAGGAUAUGCAUUUGCUAGACUGUAUAGAGAAGCAGCAGAUAUCGAGAAUGCCAAGAGGUACCUCGAUGCAUACAUUGCUGAAAGUGAAGGUGAUUUCAGGUG